AAACCAGCACCUCAAGUGGUCAGGAUGAUUAUUGGGCCUAAAGCAUCCGUAGCCUGCUUUAUCAGUUUUCGGUUAAAUCCACACGCUCAACGUAUGGGCUGCCGGGAAUACUGUAAAGCUAGGGAGUGGGAGAGGUAGACGGUACUCGGGAGGAAGGGGUAAAAUCCUUUGAUCUCUCGAUGACCACCUGUGGCGAAGGCGGUCUACCAGAACACGUCCGACGGUGAGGGAUGAAAGCUGGGGGAGCAAACCGGAUUAGAAACCCGAGUAGUCC
rnacentral:rRNA from 1 species